AUGGCCAAGUGUGAUCCUCGUCAUGGCAAAUACAUGGCCUGCUGCUUGAUGUACCGUGGUGAUGUUGUGCCCAAGGAUGUGAAUGCUGCAGUUGCCACUAUCAAAACCAAGCGUACCAUUCAGUUUGUUGACUGGUGCCCAACUGGAUUCAAGUGCGGUAUCAACUACCAGCCACCCACUGUUGUUCCUGGUGGUGACCUUGCCAAGGUGCAGAGAGCUGUCUGCAUGAUCUCCAACUCAACCAGUGUUGCUGAGGUGUUCUCAAGAAUUGACCACAAGUUUGACCUAAUGUAUGCCAAGCGUGCUUUUGUGCACUGGUAUGUGGGCGAGGGCAUGGAGGAAGGUGAGUUUUCUGAGGCUCGUGAGGAUCUUGCUGCCCUUGAGAAGGAUUAUGAAGAGGUUGGUGCUGA
rnacentral:misc_RNA from 1 species